GUCAACUACCCCGCCCUGAAGGGCGGAGCUUGAAAGAAGCUCGGGUUGACCAGACCGAGCGGUAACCAACCCGCUACGUUGUACGCAGUGCCCAAGACCGACCCUGCCGUGCUUCCUCAGCGGCAGGCUCUCGAAGCCCCGGUUGCAGACAAGCGAAAGGGUAAGCACGAAACGGAUCGAGGCAGAUGGCCGGCGUACGACAUGGUCGAGGGGAGCGGGUCCGCAAGGAC
rnacentral:sRNA from 1 species